CUAACAAGGAUUCCCCUAGUAACGGCGAGUGAAGCGGGAAGAGCUCAAAUUUGUAAUCUGGCGGCCUCGCGGUCGUCCGAGUUGUAGUCUGGAGAAGCGUUUUCCGCGUCGGACCGUGUACAAGUCCUUUGGAACAGGGCGUCGUAGAGGGUGAGAAUCCCGUCUUUGACGCGGACUGCCGAUGCUUUGUGAUGCGCUCUCGAAGAGUCGAGUUGUUUGGGAAUGCAGCUCAAAUCGGGUGGUAAAUUCCAUCUAAAGCUAAAUAUUGGCAAAAGACCGAUAGCGAACAAGUACCGUGAGGGAAAGAUGAAAAGCACUUUGGAAAGAGAGUCAAAUAGUACGUGAAAUUGUCGAAAGGGAAACGCUUCAAGUCAGUCGCGUCUCUCGGGACUCAGCCGGGUGGUAUUUUUGUAUCGCCUGGUGUAUUUCCCGGGGUUUGACGGGCCAGCAUCGAUUUCGAUCGUCGGAGAAAGGCCUUGGGAACGUGGCACCUUCGGGUGUGUUAUAGCCCUCGGUCGCAUGCGCCGGUCGGGAUCGAGGAUCGCAGCACGCCCCCCGAUUUAAAGGGGGGCCGGGGUUCGCCCACGUAACGUGCUUAGGAUGCUGGCGUAAUGGCUUCAAGCGACCCGUCUU
rnacentral:rRNA from 1 species